AGAGUUUGAUCCUGGCUCAGGACGAACGCUGGCGGCGUGCCUAAUACAUGCAAGUCGAGCGAGCUUGCCUAGAUGAUUUUAGUGCUUGCACUAAAUGAAACUAGAUACAAGCGAGCGGCGGACGGGUGAGUAACACGUGGGUAACCUGCCCAAGAGACUGGGAUAACACCUGGAAACAGAUGCUAAUACCGGAUAACAACACUAGACGCAUGUCUAGAGUUUGAAAGAUGGUUCUGCUAUCACUCUUGGAUGGACCUGCGGUGCAUUAGCUAGUUGGUAAGGUAACGGCUUACCAAGGCAAUGAUGCAUAGCCGAGUUGAGAGACUGAUCGGCCACAUUGGGACUGAGACACGGCCCAAACUCCUACGGGAGGCAGCAGUAGGGAAUCUUCCACAAUGGACGAAAGUCUGAUGGAGCAACGCCGCGUGAGUGAAGAAGGGUUUCGGCUCGUAAAGCUCUGUUGGUAGUGAAGAAAGAUAGAGGUAGUAACUGGCCUUUAUUUGACGGUAAUUACUUAGAAAGUCACGGCUAACUACGUGCCAGCAGCCGCGGUAAUACGUAGGUGGCAAGCGUUGUCCGGAUUUAUUGGGCGUAAAGCGAGUGCAGGCGGUUCAAUAAGUCUGAUGUGAAAGCCUUCGGCUCAACCGGAGAAUUGCAUCAGAAACUGUUGAACUUGAGUGCAGAAGAGGAGAGUGGAACUCCAUGUGUAGCGGUGGAAUGCGUAGAUAUAUGGAAGAACACCAGUGGCGAAGGCGGCUCUCUGGUCUGCAACUGACGCUGAGGCUCGAAAGCAUGGGUAGCGAACAGGAUUAGAUACCCUGGUAGUCCAUGCCGUAAACGAUGAGUGCUAAGUGUUUGGGAGUUUUCCGCCUCUCAGUGCUGCAGCUAACGCAUUAAG
rnacentral:rRNA from 1 species